rnacentral:tRNA from 1 species
GGGCGUGUGGCUCAGUGGUAGAGCGUCCGCUUUGCAUGUACCCUACAGUCCUCACAGGCUUCAGGACAACUACGCUGCGGAAGGUCCGGGUUUCGAUCACCCGCCCGUCCA